rnacentral:rRNA from 1 species
GACGAACCGUGCGAACGUUGUUCGGAUUCACUGGGCUUAAAGGGCGCGUAGGCGGACAAUCAAGUCAGGGGUGAAAGCCUCCAGCUCAACUGGAGAAGUGCCUUUGAUACUGACUGUCUCGAGGGAGGUAGGGGCAUGUGGAACUUCCGGUGGAGCGGUGAAAUGGCGUAGAUAUCGGAAGGAACGCCGGUGGCGAAAGCGACGCGCUGGACCCCUUCUGACGCUGAGGCGCGAAAGCUAGGGGAGCAAACGGG